UUUCGAAGGAUACCAACUUCUCAAUUACCAAGAAGAAUACCAAUAAUUCUCAUUGUUGAAACGCGUAGGUGGUUGAAAGUAUUGUUUGAACGCGAAAAAUUUCCCGCCGCUCUUUGAUUGGGUGAUUUCGUUGAUACAAUCGUAGAUGUAAAUAUCAGGGCUCUGGUAAAAAUACCUGUGAUUGGUCGAUAUCAGCUUCAAUUUGAUAUUGGUGCUCGUGCCAGCGGAAGAAGUAUUUCAUAUACGUGUUUUAACAUUUUUUCCUUAAUCUUGUGUUUUUGUCAUCGUUUAUGUGGUUGUUUGGUUGUAUGAGCUAUGAAAAAUUAUAUGUGUGUAUGAAAUUUAUGAAAUGAAAGAGAAAAGAAAUUGUCAGAAUGUGCGCGCGAGUGAUGCAAUUUUCAAACGUCGCAUGCUUCAUGAUUCCGUAACACAUCGUCAUUAAUGUCUGUAAAACGUACAGUGUCAUCGUAAUCAUUGAAGAAGACGCCUUACGAAAAUUUCGAUAAAAUUGUGCAAAGUAUUUUCAUUAAAAGUGAAUCAUGAACGCCGACGACGACGUUGAUAACGUUGAUCAACAAGAAUUAGACAGUGUUUUAUAUACUGAAGAAGUUGCAGCCGAUUGUUGAAAUUCAUGUAUUCCAUUGGAAUCCUACAGUGGCAGUACGGCCCUACGAACGAACGAUUUGUCUCUGAAUCAAGACAGUAAAUAUCAAUAUGCUGUCCUGUUGAAGUGCUAGAAAUCCUACGGAGGAAUUUUUAUAAUUUCUGACAGAGAAAUCUAAUCAAGUUGAUUAUGCCAAAUCACUUCAGGAAACACAUCAAGAUGAACUAAAUGGACUUGAAUUAAUAAACCUUGAGGUCAGCAAUUUCUUUGAGGACAGCAGGCAGAAUAUGGACUGUCAUCUUGAUUUUAUGUCGGUUCCUCCAGAACUUUGAUGACUGUAAUUUGUUAUGGCAUGUCGAAAUACAAUUUGUUUUUUUACAACCAUUGAAA